ensembl:lncRNA
AUGUUACCUGCAGAUCCCUGCUUACCUGAGGUCUUCUGAAGUGUGCCUAUAUUGGUAGAAUAUUCAAAGAAGCUGCAGUGCAAGAUAAAUGGCAUUAAUAAGCAAGGUUGAGAACUAAGGACAUCUCCAGAAGAGAAAAACAAAGUCAAGUAAGCUGCGUGAUCCUUGCAUGAAAAUGACCUUGAUUGGAGGAUGAGUGCAUGGCUAGGAGUGACUCAUGACUGACUGGAUAAUCACCUGCAUGCGCAGUAGGAAUGGAGGAGGAUGGAAAAAGUAAGACCCAUGAUAUUCCAUGCAAAGGAAACGAAUACUACUGAAAACACAAGCACAAGUGUAAAAUUCAGUAAAAUUAUCAGCUUUCUUCUGUGACUUUUCUAAUACACUGCUGAUAUAUUCAUACUGGUAAGCUUGUUGUGUAAUGAGUCGAGUGGUCUUCAAGAGAUUAUAGACGUUCUUCUGCCUCUGUUUCUGCUGGUAAACACUUAGACAUAAGACUACUUUUUGUUUCAUUACAGAAACAUAAGUGAUCAGCUUUUCAAUCCUUCAGUUAUAAAUUACUUCUAUAAAGCUUUCUAAUUUCAAGGGAAAGUAUAACGAGAAGGUUUUUAGGGUCACAAAGUCAAGGAAAAUCUCUUGGCUUGAGAUCUAAAGGAGAAUCUUACUGUAAAAAUCAAAGUCUACCUUAGAACAGAAGAGACUAAAACAUUAAGUGGGCACAUAACAUGGAUAGUCUUCUGUUUGCUUUAGCUAGGUGGCUUUUCAUGCUCAACGUGGUGGUGGUCAUGAAAGUGCCAGACUAACACUGGCACUAACACUAUAACACAACACAAAUUCACACCUUCCUAUUUAUUCAGUUUUCAGUCCUGCAAAGUGUAGAGCAGUGAUAGCUGAAAUCAUUCAGCAAUUUGCCAAUUUAAGCUGUAACAUAAUUGCCUUCUUUUUAACUCCACAUUUCACAAAGCUGGUGUUGUUAACUCUUGCUUAAAGACUUUCUGGAAUAGUUGUACAUACAAAAUUUAUUUUGUUGUUUUCUCUUCAGGCUUCUUGCUAGUAGGUGUUUUCUGGCAUUCUAGCCUUGAGCAAUGUAUAUGAACAGUAUUAUGUUAGAAGUGAAGCCAAAUUCAAUAUCAUAUUUUAUUUUAUAUACGGUUUCCUGCUCAAUGAAUCAUGGAAAAAUGUUACUUAAUAUUUAUACAGGAUUCUUACAAAUGAAAAAUUUCCCAACAUAAUUCCAUUCAAAUAAAACCACACUGUGACUCAAAUGGAGGAAAAAAAUAACACCAUCAAAAAUGUGCUUGUCAGACCACAGCCAUGGGAUGCUCCUCUUUUAGGGCAGAUUAAGAAAUAUACCAGGUCCUAGCCUUGUUGCUUUUGCAUCUAACUCAUUUUCAGUACGAUUCAGUACUCUGGAUGUUGAUCUAUAUACUACACAUAAUACUAUAACUGUGAUGAUAAAACACUAUUUAAAUACAGUUUUCAUCAGGUAUAUUACUAAUAUUUCUUGAUUUAUUCCAAUUAAGAAUAUGAUUCUGAAAAUCUGCACACAAAGAUUGUGCAACAGUUGUGCAAAUUAUUAUGGCAGCCUCUUGCUAUAUAUUUGCUACUGUACAGUCUGUGUGCUGAAGCUUAUGUUUGUAUUUGCAUGAACAAGUGCAGUAAAUUUUGGUGUAAAUUCCAAAUCACAAAUCUGGAAGUGAAAUUAAAUCAGAUCUGGCAGCCUGAGAGAGGCAACACUUCUGCAGCUACAUGCCCCCAGGUUCAGCCACUUGCAAUGCUGAGCAUGUAUUUCCCAAUAUGCAUGCACAUGGAGUACCCAUAUACUUUAAAAACAUGCAUAUUUACAUGGUUAGCCACACUGAUUGUAAGCAGAACACUCAAGCAAACACAGCAGCAAUUGCUUCAUCCUGAUCACCUCUCUGGUUGAACAGGAUGGAGGUUCAUUCUUGAAAACAUGUAUAUUUAAAAAGUGGAUACCUCCAGUAGCUGGGUUCAGACACUUGGUUUGUUCAGUAUGUGCCCCCUGAUCCUAGUCUCCCCAAGUUGACAUAGGAGCAUAAUUCUGACAUCAAUUUAAAGGUUAUAUAUUAAGAGACUUAUUUAUGGAUUCUUCAAACUGGGAAAAAGUAAUUAAUUUCAGGCAUCUCUAUUAUCAAUCAAUAACUGAGUUU